rnacentral:rRNA from 1 species
GAAUUUAAGCCCCAGUAAACGGCGGUGGUAACUAUAACCAUCCUAAGGUAGCGAAAUUCCUUGUCGGGUAAGUUCCGACCUGCACGAAUGGCGUAACGACUUCCCUGCUGUCUCGACCGUGAGCUCGGUGAAAUUGCAUUAUGAGUAAAGAUGCUCGUUUAGCGCAGCAGGACGGAAAGACCCCGGGACCUUUACUAUAGCUUGGUAUUGGUGGUUGAUUAUGCUUGUGUAGAAUAGGUGGGAGACUGUGAGACCGCGCCGCUAGGUGUGGUGGAGUUGUAAUGUGAAAUACCACUCUGGUGUGAUUGGCUGUCUUAACCUUGGCCCGUGAUCCGGGUUGGGGACAGUGCCUGGUGGGUAGUUUAACUGGGGCGGUUGCCUCCUAAAAGGUAACGGAGGCGCUCAAUGGUUCCCUCAUCCUGGUUGGUAAUCAGGUGUUGAGUGUAAGUGCACAAGGGAGCUUGACUGUGACACUGACGGGUGGAGCAGGUACGAAAGUAGGAACUAGUGAUCCGGCAAUGGCUUGUGGAAGCGUUGUCGCUCAACGGAUAAAAGGUACCCCGGGGAUAACAGGCUGAUCUUGCCCAAGAGUCCAUAUCGACGGCAUGGUUUGGCACCUCGAUGUCGGCUCGUCGCAUCCUGGGGCUGGAGUUGGUCCCAAGGGUUGGGCUGUUCGCCCAUUAAAGCGGUACGCGAGCUGGGUUCAGAACGUCGUGAGACAGUUCGGUCCCUAUCCGCUGCGUUCGUUGGAGAUUUGAGAGGGCCUGUCCCUAGUACGAGAGGACCGGGACGGACGAACCUCUGGUGUGCCAGUUGUACCGCCAGGUGCAUGGCUGGUUUGCUACGUUCGGGAGGGAUAACCGCUGAAAGCAUCUAAGCGGGAAGCCUGCCUCGAGAUAAGAUCUCCGUGCACUGUUUGUGUGUGAGGGUCCCAGUAGAAGACUGGGUUGAUAGGCCAGGAAUGUAAGGCUCGUGAGGGUUUGAGUUGACUGGUACUAAUAUCCCGAUGACUAACAUUA